AACGAACGCUGGCGGCGCGCCUAAUACAUGCAAGUCGAGCGAGAAGACGUAGCAAUACGUUUGUAAAGCGGCGAACGGGUGAGGAAUACAUGGGUAACCUACCCUCGAGUGGGGAAUAACUAGCCGAAAGGUUAGCUAAUACCGCGUACGCUCCUUGGACUUCGGUUCAGGGAGGAAAGCGAUACCGUGGGUAUCGCGCUCUUGGAUGGGCUCAUGUCCUAUCAGCUUGUUGGUGAGGAACGGCUCACCAAGGCUUCGACGGGUAGCUGGUCUGAGAGGACGAUCAGCCACACUGGCACUGCGACACGGGCCAGACUCCUACGGGAGGCAGCAGUAAGGAAUAUUGCGCAAUGGGCGAAAGCCUGACGCAGCGACGCCGCGUGGGGGNGG
rnacentral:rRNA from 1 species